rnacentral:rRNA from 1 species
UACGUAGGGUGCGAGCGUUGUCCGGAAUUAUUGGGCGUAAAGGGCUCGUAGGCGGUUUGUCGCGUCGGGAGUGAAAUCAUCUGGCUUAACUGGGUGCUUGCUUUCGAUACGGGCAGACUAGAGGUAUGCAGGGGAGAACGGAAUUCCUGGUGUAGCGGUGAAAUGCGCAGAUAUCAGGAGGAACACCGGUGGCGAAGGCGGAUCUCUGGGCCGUAACUGACGCUGAGGAGCGAAAGCAUGGGGAGCGAACAGG